rnacentral:rRNA from 1 species
AAACGUAGGACACAAGCGUUAUCCGGAGUUACUGGGCGUAAAGGGCGUGUAGGCGGAUCGGUAAGUCUACUCUGAAAGCUCCUGGCUAAACUGGGGAGAGGCGAGUGGAGACUGUCGGUCUAGAGUGAGGAAGAGGAAAGUGGAAAUUCCGCGUGUAGUGGUGAAAUGCGUAGAGAUGCGGAGGAACACCAGUGGCGAAAGCGGCUUUCUGGUCCUUAACUGACGCUGAGGCGCGAAAGCAUGGGGGAGCGAACGGGG